UAGGGAAUAUUGCGCAAUGGAGGAAACUCUGACGCAGCGACGCCGCGUGAAGGAUGAAGUAUUUCGGUAUGUAAACUUCGAAAGAAUAGGAAGAAUAAAUGACGGUACUAUUUAUAAGGUCCGGCUAACUACGUGCCAGCAGCCGCGGUAAUACGUAGGGACCAAGCGUUGUUCGGAUUUACUGGGCGUAAAGGGCGCGUAGGCGGCAUGACAAGUCACUUGUGAAAUCUCUGGGCUUAACCCAGAACGGCCAAGUGAUACUGUCGCGCUAGAGUGCAGAAGGGGCAAUCGGAAUUCUUGGUGUAGCGGUGAAAUGCGUAGAUAUCAAGAGGAACACCUGAGGUGAAGACGGGUUGCUGGGCUGACACUGACGCUGAGGCGCGAAAGCCAGGGGAACAAACGGGAUUAGAUACCCGCGUAGUCCCUGAGCGGGCUGGCAAGGCGCAU
rnacentral:rRNA from 1 species